GUAGGUGAACCUGCGGAAGGAUCAUUACCGAGCGUGUCUGUUAAUUCGGACUCCUCCCCACCCUUGUGUAUUUUCGCUGAAAAGCAGCUUCGGCGGGCCGUUAGACCUUAGCGAUAAGGCUCUAACAUUGGCCCCUGUGCGGAUUUGCGCCCGCCGAAGAACCAACUCUUGAUAAUUUGAAGUCUGAUAAAACAAACAAAUAAAUCAAAACUUUCAACAACGGAUCUCUUGGUUCUGGCAUCGAUGAAGA
rnacentral:misc_RNA from 1 species